rnacentral:rRNA from 1 species
GAGGAACAUUGCCCAAUGGACGCAAGUCUGAGGCAGCAACGCCGCGUGGGCGAUGAAGGCCUUCGGGUUGUAAAGCCCUUUUCUGGGGGAAGAGGAAGGACGGUACCUCAGGAAUAAGUCACGGCUAACUACGUGCCAGCAGCCGCGGUAAUACGUAGGCGGCAAGCGUUAUCCGGAUUCACUGGGCGUAAAGCGCGUGCAGGCGGUUUCGUAAGUCGGACGUGAAAGCUCCUGGCUUAACUGGGAGAGGUCGUUCGAUACUGCGGGGCUUGAGGUCGGGAGAGGGACGUGGAAUUCCCGGUGUAGUGGUGGAAUGCGUAGAUAUCGGGAGGAACACCAGUGGCGAAGGCGACGUCCUGGCCCGCGCCUGACGCUGAGACGCGAAAGCGUGGGUAGCGAACGG